rfam:Schistosoma rodhaini strain Burundi genome assembly, scaffold: SROB_scaffold0001176
GCACUGCUGAAGAGUCUCAUAAUAGGACGGAACGGCCUUUCAGUGC